rnacentral:tRNA from 1 species
GUGGCUGAGCGGUAAGGCGCCUGGCUUCCUAACUGGGGUCCCGGGUUCGAAUCCUGGC